rnacentral:rRNA from 1 species
UACGUAGGGUGCGAGCGUUGUCCGGAAUUACUGGGCGUAAAGAGCUCGUAGGUGGUUUGUCGCGUUGUUCGUGAAAACCGGGGGCUUAACCCUCGGCGUGCGGGCGAUACGGGCAGACGUUGAGUACUGCAGGGGAGACUGGAAUUCCUGGUGUAGCGGUGGAAUGACGCAGAUAUCAGGAGGAACACCGGUGGCGAAGGCGGGUCUCUGGGCAGUAACUGACGCUGAGGAGCGAAAGCGUGGGGAGCGAACAGG